rnacentral:rRNA from 1 species
UGGGGAAUAUUGGACAAUGGGGGCAACCCUGAUCCAGCCAUGCCGCGUGGGUGAAGAAGGCCUUAGGGUUGUAAAACCCUUUCAGCGGGGAAGAUGAUGACGGUACCCGCAGAAGAAGCCCCGGCUAACUCCGUGCCAGCAGCCGCGGUAAUACGGAGGGGGCUAGCGUUGUUCGGAAUUACUGGGCGUAAAGGGCGUGUAGGCGGUUUGCCAAGUCAGGCGUGAAAGCCCCGGGCUUAACCUGGGAACUGCGUUUGAGACUGGCAGGCUAGAGGUUGGAAGAGGAGAGUGGAAUUCCCAGUGUAGAGGUGAAAUUCGUAGAUAUUGGGAAGAACACCAGUGGCGAAGGCGGCUCUCUGGUCCAUACCUGACGCUGAGGCGCGAAAGCGUGGGGAGCAAA